GGUUCAGGGGUGGGGUGAGUGGGGAUUGAGAGAGAGAAUGUGUGAGAGUAAGAGAGUGAGAGAAAGGAGAUUGGGGGUGAUGGUAACUGGAGUGGUUUCCGUUUUGGGACGAAGACGGAGAGAGAGAUGGGUGGUCAAAGUGGAGGAAGGGGCAGACGGAGCGUACCAGACAGUCGAAAAGACGGCAGACAAUGGGAGGAAGGAGAAGGCUCUGGAUCUGGUUAUUAUUACCCUAGUCGCCAGUGUCAUUGGCGACUCUCUUGUUGCUAAUGACAAUAGCGACUCUCAAGUCGCCAAUGACACUACCAACUCUCUCAAACGCGUUAGAUCCUUAAAUAAGUUUUGAACCGUAUUAUUUUCUAAUAUAUUUUUUUAAAACACGUUAAAAAAAAACUCGGUUUCCAAAAUUAUUGAAAUUUGUUAUGCCUGGAAAAAUGACAUACGGCUGCUGAUAAAUGGGUGUGUUUCCGAAAAAGGAAAGGUAUUAUGUGCCCAGAAAUCAUUCAAGAAGAAAUUUGCAAGAAAUGACAAGAA
rnacentral:lncRNA from 1 species